rnacentral:rRNA from 1 species
UGUUGGGUAGGGGAGCGUUGUGUAAGCUGAAGAAGGUGGUUCGAGAGGGCUGCUGGAGGUAUCACAAGUGCGAAUGCUGACAUAAGUAACGAUAAAGCGGGUGAAAGGCCCGCUCGCCGGAAGACCAAGGUUUCCUGUCCAACGUUAAUCGGGGCAGGGUGAGUCGGCCCCUAAGGCGAGGCUGAGAAGCGUAGUCGAUGGGAAAUGGGUUAAUAUUCCCAUACUUGGAUAAACUGCGAUGUGGGGACGGAGCAGGUUAGGUUAGCGUACGGAUGGAAGAGUACGUUUAAGUUGGUAGGUGGGGUGUUUAGGCAAAUCCGGGCACCUGAUAACACUGAGAGAUGAUGACGAGGCUCUACGGAGCUGAAGUAACUGAUACCCAACUUCCAGGAAAAGCCACUAAGCGAGAGGUUUAUCUAAACCGUACUGGAAACCGACACAGGUGGUCAGGUAGAGAAUACUAAGGCGCUUGAGAGAACUCGGGUGAAGGAACUAGGCAAAAUAGCACCGUAACUUCGGGAGAAGGUGCGCUGGCGUAGUGUGAAGUUCUUCGCGAAUGGAGCAUGAACCAGUCGAAGCGACGAGCUGGCUGCAACUGUUUAAUAAAAACACAGCACUCUGCAAACACGAAAGUGGACGUAUAGGGUGUGAUGCCUGCCCGGUGCUGGAAGGUUAAUUGAUGGUGUCAUCGAAAGAGAAGCACCUGAUCGAAGCCCCAGUAAACGGCGGCCGUAACUAUAACGGUCCUAAGGUAGCGAAAUUCCUUGUCGGGUAAGUUCCGACCUGCACGAAUGGCAUAAUGAUGGCCAGGCUGUCUCCACCCGAGACUCAGUGAAAUUGAAAUCGCCGUGAAGAUGCGGUGUACCCGCGGCUAGACGGAAAGACCCCGUGAACCUUUACUAUAGCUUGACACUGAACCUUGAAUUUUAAUGUGUAGGAUAGGUGGGAGACUAAGAAGCGGUAACGCCAGUUAUCGUGGAGUCGGUGUUGAAAUACCACCCUUUAACGUUUGAUGUUCUAACGAGGCGCCUGGAACGGGUGUUCGGACAGUGUCUGGUGGGUAGUUUGACUGGGGCGGUCUCCUCCCAAAGCGUAACGGAGGAGCACGAAGGUUGGCUAAUGACGGUCGGACAUCGUCAGGUUAGUGCAAUGGUAGAAGCCAGCUUAACUGCGAGACGGACAAGUCGAGCAGGUACGAAAGUAGGUCAUAGUGAUCCGGUGGUUCUGAAUGGAAGGGCCAUCGCUCAACGGAUAAAAGGUACUCCGGGGAUAACAGGCUGAUACCGCCCAAGAGUUCAUAUCGACGGCGGUGUUUGGCACCUCGAUGUCGGCUCAUCACAUCCUGGGGCUGAAGUAGGUCCCAAGGGUAUGGCUGUUCGCCAUUUAAAGUGGUACGCGAGCUGGGUUUAGAACGUCGUGAGACAGUUCGGUCCCUAUCUGCCGUGGGCGUUGGAGGAUUGAGGGGGGUUGCUCCUAGUACGAGAGGACCGGAGUGAACGCACCGCUGGUGUUCCAGUUGUUUCGCCAGAAGCAUUGCUGGGUAGCUAAGUGCGGAAGAGAUAAGUGCUGAAAGCAUCUAAGCACGAAACUUGCCCCGAGAUGAGUUCUCCCUGACAGAGAGUCAGUAAGGGUUGUUGAAGACGACGACGUAGAUAGGUGGGGUGUGUAAGCGGUGUGAGCCGUUGAGCUAACCCAUACUAAUUGCCCGAGAGGCUUAACUAUACAACGCUGAAGGGUUUU